rnacentral:rRNA from 1 species
GCCUUUUGAUAAUAAUUUAAGGUCUGACCUGCCCNNUGAAGAUUUAAAUGGCCGCGGUAUACUGACCGUGCAAAGGUAGCAUAAUCAUUAGUUUUUUAAUUGAAAGCUGGUAUGAAAGGUUUGAUGAAAAAUUAGCUGUCUCUGUUUAAUUUAUUUAGAAUUUUAUUUUUAAGUUAAAAAGCUUAAAUAUUAAUUGAAGACGAGAAGACCCUAUAGAGUUUUAUUAGUUAUUUAAAUAAUAUUUUUAGUAUUUAUUUAUUUUAUUUAAUAAAUUAAUUUAAUUGGGGUGAUUGAAAAAUUUAUUAAACUUUUUUUUUAUAAUUACAUUAAUUUAUGAUUAUUUGAUCCUUUUAUUUAAGAUUAAAAGAUAAAAUUACCUUAGGGAUAACAGCGUUAUUUUUUUUGAGAGUUCUUAUUGAAAGAAAAGAUUGCGACCUCGAUGUUGGAUUAAAAUUAAAUUUUGGUGUAGAAGCUAAAAUAUUUAGGUCUGUUCGACCUUUAAAAUUUUACUUGA